GUAGAGAGCGGUAGAGGGAGAGAGAGGUGUAGGGAGGUAGAGAGCGGUAGAGAGAGGUAGAGGGAGAGAAGUGUAGGGAGGUAGAGAGCGGUAGAGGGAGAGAGAGGUGUAGGGAGGUAGAGAGCGGUAGAGUGAGAGAGAGGUGUAGGGAGGUAGCGAGAGGUGUAGGGAGGUAGAGAGCGGUAGAGGGAGAGAGAGGUGUAGGGAGGUAGAGAGCGGUAGAGGGAGAGAGAGGUGUAGGGAGGUAGCGAGAGGUGUAGGGAGGUAGAGAGCGGUAGAGGGAGAGAGAGGUGUAGGGAGUUAGCGAGAGGUGUAGGGAGGUAGAGAGCGGUAGAGGGAGAGAGGUGUAGGGAGGUAGAGAGCGGUAGAGAGAGAGAGAGAGGUGUAGGGAGGUAGCGAGAGGUAGAGUGAGAGAGAGGUGUAGGGAGGUAGAGAGCGGUAGAGGUAGCGAGAGGUGUAGGGAGGUAGAGAGCGGUAGAGGGAGAGAGAGGUGUAGGGAGGUAGAGAGCGGUAGAGAGAGAGAGAGGUGUAGGGAGGUAGAGAGCGGUAGAGUGAGAGAGAGGUGUAGGGAGGUAGAGAGCGGUAGAGGGAGAGAGAGGUGUAGGGAGGUAGAGAGCGGUAGAGGGAG
rnacentral:lncRNA from 1 species